AUUGAACGCUGGCGGCAGGCCUAACACAUGCAAGUCGAGCGGAUGAAGGGAGCUUGCUCCUGGAUUCAGCGGCGGACGGGUGAGUAAUGCCUAGGAAUCUGCCUGGUAGUGGGGGAUAACGUCCGGAAACGGGCGCUAAUACCGCAUACGUCCUGAGGGAGAAAGUGGGGGAUCUUCGGACCUCACGCUAUCAGAUGAGCCUAGGUCGGAUUAGCUAAUUGGUGGGGUAAAGGCCUACCAAGGCGACGAUCCGUAACUGGUCUGAGAGGAUGAUCAGUCACACUGGAACUGAGACACGGUCCAGACUCCUACGGGAGGCAGCAGUGGGGAAUAUUGGACAAUGGGCGAAAGCCUGAUCCAGCCAUGCCGCGUGUGCGAAGAAGGUCUUCGGAUUGUAAAGCACUUUAAGUUGGGAGGAAGGGCAGUAAGUUAAUACCUUGCUGUUUUGACGUUACCAACAGAAUAAGCACCGGCUAACUUCGUG
rnacentral:rRNA from 1 species